rnacentral:rRNA from 1 species
GAUGGCGUGCCUUUUGAAGAAUUGAGACUGCGAGUUCGCGGCAUGUCGCGAGGUUAACCCGUGUGGGGUAGACGUAGCGAAAGCGAGCCGAUAGGCGUUUGUAGUGGCAUGUUCUAGACCCGAAGCGGAGUGAUCUACCCAUGGCCAGGGUGAGCGACGGAUAAGACGGUCGGGAGGCCCGAACCCACUUAGGUUGAAAACUGAGGGGAUGAGCUGUGGGUAGGGGUGUAAGGCCCAUCAAACUCCGUGAUAGCUGGUUCUCCCCGAAAUGCAUUUAGGUGCAGCGUCGCGUGUUUCACUCUGGAGGUAGAGCUACGGAGGCCGAUGGGCCCCACAAGGUUACUGACGUCAGCCAAAACUCCGAAUGCCAGAGUGUGAGAGCGCGGCAGGAGAUGCGGGGGAUAAGCUUCGUAGUCGAGCGGGAACCAGCCCAGAUCGCCGGCUAAGGCCCCUAAGCGUGUACUAAGUGGAAAAGGAUGUGGGGUCGCGAAGACAACCAGGAGGUGGCUAGAAGCAGCCACCCUUGAAAGAGUGCGUAAUAGCUCACUGGUCAAGUGAUCCUGCGCCGACAAUGUAGCGGGGAUCAAGUACACCGCCGAAGCCGCGGCAUUCACAUAACACCCACUUCCCUCUACGGGGGGUGUGCAGUGGUGUGGAUGGGUAGGGGAGCGUCGUGCAGCCAUGGAAGCGCCGGAGUGAUCCAGGUGUGGAGGCUGCACGAGUGAGAAUGCAGGCAUGAGUAGCGAAAGACGAGUGAGAAACUCGUCCGCCCGAUGACCAAGGGUUCCUGGGCCAGGUAAUCGCCCAGGGUGAGUCGGGACCUAAGGCGAGGCCGACAGGCGUAGUCGAUGGACAAGGGUUGAUAUUUCCCGUACCGUGUGAACGCGCCCCUGGUGAAUCAGUGAUGCUAAGCGCCCUGAAGCCGCCUUCGAACCUUCGGGUUCUCCGGUGUGUGGAUGCGCGUGAACCGAUCUGGUAGUAGCCAAGCGAUGGGGGUGACGCAGGAAGGUAAGCGAGCCAGUCAGUGGUAAUACUGGUGUAAGCGUGUAGGGCGUGACCUAGGCAAAUCCGGUCACACACAGCCUGAGACGUGAUGCGUAGCCGAUUGAGGCGAAUUCAGUGACCUAUGCUGCCGAGAAAAGCCUCUAGCGAGCUUUCACACGGCCCGUACCCCAACCGACACAGGUGGUCAGGUAGAGAAUACUAAGGCGAUCGAGAUAAACUGUGGUUAAGAAAACCGGCAAAAUGCCCCCGUAACUUCGGGAGAAGGGGGGCCUCGUCUGGUGACGGAACUUGCUUCCUGAGCUGGGUGGGGCCGCAGAGACCAGAGAGAAGCGACUGUUUACUAAAAACACAGGUCCGUGCGAAGUCGUAAGACGAUGUAUACGGACUGACGCCUGCCCGGUGCUGGAAGGUUAAGAGGACCGGUUAGCCAGUAAUGGCGAAGCUGAGAAUUUAAGCCCCAGUAAACGGCGGUGGUAAUAUAACCAUCCUAAGGUAGCGAAAUUCCUUGUCGGGUAAGUUCCGACCUGCACGAAUGGCGUAACGACUUCUCUGCUGUCUCAACCACAGACUCGGCGAAAUUGCAUUACGAGUAAAGAUGCUCGUUACGCGCGGCAGGACGAAAAGACCCCGGGACCUUCACUAUAGCUUGGUAUUGGUGUUCGGUUCGGUUUGUGUAGGAUAGGUGGGAGACUGUGAAGCGGGCACGCCAGUGUUCGUGGAGUCGUUGUUGAAAUACCACUCUGAUCGUAUUGGACAUCUAACCUCGGACCAUGAUCUGGUUCAGGGACAGUGCCUGGUGGGUAGUUUAAACUGGGGCGGUUGCCUCCCAAAAUGUAACGGAGGCGCCAAAGGUUCCCUCAGCCUGGUUGGCAAUCAGGUGUCGAGUGCAAGUGCACAAGGGAGCUUGACUGUGAGACUGACAGGUCGAGCAGGGACGAAAGUCGGGACUAGGAUCCGGCACCGGCAAGUGGAAGCGGUGUCGCUCAACGGAUAAAAGGUACCCGGGGAUACAGGCUGAUCUUCCCCAAGAGUCCAUAUCGACGGGAUGGUUUGGCACCUCGAUGUCGGCUCGUCGCAUCCUGGGGCUGGAGUAGGUCCCAAGGGUUGGGCUGUUCGCCCAUUAAAGCGGCACGCGAGCUGGGUUUAGAACGUCGUGAGACAGUUCGGUCUCUAUCCGCCGCGCGCGUUAGAAACUUGAGGAAGGCUGUCCCUAGUACGAGAGGACCGGGACGGACGAACCUCUGGUGUGCCAGUUGUUCCGCCAGGAGCACUGCUGGUUAGCUACGUUCGGAAGGGAUAACCGCUGAAAGCAUCUAAGCGGGAAGCCUGUUCCAAGAUGAGGUUUCUCACCCCCUCGAGGGGGUAAGGCCCCGGCAGACCACCGGGUUGAUAGGCCAGAACUGGAAGCACAGUAAUGUGUGGAGGUGACUGGUACUAAUAGGCCGAGGACUUACCACAA